rnacentral:rRNA from 1 species
AUACGGAGGGUGCAAGCGUUACUCGGAAUCACUGGGCGUAAAGCGCGCGCAGGCGGGCUGAUAAGUUGGAUGUGAAAGCCUACGGCUCAACCGUAGAACUGCAUCCAAAACUGUCAGUCUGGAGUCUGGGAGGGGAAGAUGGAAUUAGUUGUGUAGGGGUAAAAUCCGUAGAGAUAACUAGGAAUACCAAAAGCGAAGGCGAUCUUCUGGAACAGUACUGACGCUGAGGCGCGAAAGCGUGGGGAGCAAACAGGAUUAGAAACCCCUGUAGUCC